rnacentral:lncRNA from 1 species
GGUAUCCAACCAAGUCCGCCAAGGCUGUUAAAAAUUCAUAUUUCGCAUAAAUCAUAUUUUUAUUUUGAAACAUAGCCGUUCCUUGGUGUUGGCUGAGUCUCACUCUCACGCGGUGGUCCACGUGAAGUGCACUCAAAAAGCCCACCUUAGGAGAUACCCUACGCGGCUCUACGACCGAGGUGAGAAUAUAAAGGAGUUUAC